rnacentral:rRNA from 1 species
GAUGAACGCUGGCGGCGUGCCUAAUACAUGCAAGUCGAGCGAACAGACGAGGAGCUUGCUCCUUUGACGUUAGCGGCGGACGGGUGAGUAACACGUAGGUAACCUACCUAUAAGACUGGGAUAACUUCGGGAAACCGGAGCUAAUACCGGAUAAUAUUUCGAACCGCAUGGUUCGAUAGUGAAAGAUGGCUUUGCUAUCACUUAUAGAUGGACCUGCGCCGUAUUAGCUAGUUGGUAAGGUAACGGCUUACCAAGGCAACGAUACGUAGCCGACCUGAGAGGUUGAUCGGCCACACUGGAACUGAGACACGGUCCAGACUCCUACGGGAGGCAGCAGUAGGGAAUCUUCCGCAAUGGGCGAAAGCCUGACGGAGCAACGCCGCGUGAGUGAUGAAGGUCUUCGGAUCGUAAAACUCUGUUAUUAGGGAAGAACAAACGUGUAAGUAACUGUGCACGUCUUGACGGUACCUAAUCAGAAAGCCACGGCUAACCACGUG